GAUGAACGCUAGCGGCAGGCUUAAUACAUGCAAGUCGAGGGGUAACAGGGGUAGCAAAUACCUGCUGACGACCGGCAAAACGGGGUGCGGAACACGUACGCAACCUUCCCCAUAACUGGUGAAUAGCCUUCCGAAAGGGAGAUUUAAUACACCGUAACAUAAUGAAGUGGCAUCACUUUGUUAUUAUAGGCUUCGGCCGGUUUUUGGAUGGGCGUGCGCCUGAUUAGGUAGUUGGCGGGGUAACGGCCCACCAAGCCUGCGAUCAGUAACUGGUGUGAGAGCACGACCAGUCACACGGGCAACUGAGACACGGGGCCCGACUCCUACGGGAGGCAGCAGUAAGG
rnacentral:rRNA from 1 species